CUCCUACGGGAGGCAGCAGUGGGGAAUUUUGCGCAAUGGGGAAACCUGACGCAGCAACGCCGCGUGGAGGAUGAAGUAUCUUGGUACGUAAACUCCUUUCGAUGGGGAAGAUAAUGACGGUACCCAUACGAAGAAGCCCGGCUAACCUUCGCGCCAGCAGCCGCGGUAAUAC
rnacentral:rRNA from 1 species